AUAGCACUUGUGUUGGAAAAACGAUUUUGUAAAAGAUGUCCCCAGAGGUGCCAAUGGCAAGCGAAUUUCGUCGCCUUUGGGGGCUGUGCCGCACCCCUUCCGGUGAAUGUGGAGGAUCCACACCC
rnacentral:snoRNA from 1 species